rnacentral:lncRNA from 1 species
AUGUGUCACACUAAAUCUGGACUUUUGUACCUAUCAAAAUUGGCUUUUCUGAGCCCACCUGCAAAAAAUGGAAACAAGCGCCGUGUAAUGAGUACUAUAAUAGCUCGCAGUGCAGGCAUUAUGGCCUUAGUGCGUUCUGUGAUUGAUAUUCUAGCCUUAUGUAAUUUGUUCUGGUAUCUCUGUUUAGAUUUCUCCGUUCUCAAGAACAACAGACUCCAUGAAAACAGAAGGCCAGUUGGAAAGGCAGUCAGACUAAGUGGAAUUCUGUUCUUCAGUAGUCCAAGCUGUGUCUCUUCACCGUCGUUGCUACAGAUUAAUCAUCACAGGCAUCUCCUGAGGAAAUUCUGUAAUAGUGACAGGAUGGGGGGUGGAGGGGGGGGUGAGUAG